GGUGAGCAGGGGCUAGAGGUGGAGCGAGGGAGCAGAGGGAGGACCGCGGCGGGGGGAGGACGUGCGUGUGCUGUGUGUGUGAUGUAGCGGCGGUGGGAACCGAGACCUCGUGGGCGCGAACUCGGGGGGUGGCAGGCCGUUGGGCCGACGGCGCCUACUGGGCGGGCGGCCGCUGCUGGAGGAGGAGGGGCGCAGCAAGAAGGUGGGGCUCGUUGGUGGGCUCUCGCGGCGGCAGCGUGAAGGCUUCUUGAGCGCCGGUGGCACGGGGGACUCCGGGCGAUCGAACUGGUUCCCGAGGUGGCAGUAGGAGAGGAAGUGGAUGCCGGCGGGUAACCUCGCGCCGCGGCAAUGGGGCGGACGUAGCGGGCGAAGCAGUUGGAGGCCGGUGGUGAGCAGAGGCGAAACUAGGCGGCGGUAUCGACGAAGGAGCGGCGGGGGCUCGAGCGUGUGCCGGCGGGACGGGGCUCUGGCUACGGCGGGGACACUAGCUGAUGCAGCUACUACUGGGGAGGAACCGUCUCGUUGGUCUACGACCUCGGGUCCCCGGUCUACGGUGGCAGCUGCUACUGAGGAUGAUGUGGCCUCCACGGAUUAUGCACGUCGGGUUACUGCUGCUGGUCCGCAUCAAUCCUCCUAGGGUCCGUCCUCCGGAUGCGGAGAAAGCUAGACAUAGGGUCAAACACGAUCGGAAGAAUUCCGUUUGAACAAAUUGAAUACAGACAUGAGUCUAUAACAACGAAGGCGACUGAGCAGAUACUAGCUCGUGAACAUAAGCUCGGGAGCUCCGGGGACCGAACAUAAUACUACGAACAUACUGAAUAAAUACAACAUCUC
rnacentral:rRNA from 1 species